UCAGCCGCCGCGGUAAUACGUAGGGUCCGAGCGUUGUCCGGAAUUAUUGGGCGUAAAGGGCUCGUAGGCGGUCCGUCACGUCGGGAGUGAAAACUCAGGGCUCAACCCUGAGCGUGCUUCCGAUACGGGCGGACUAGAGGUAUGCAGGGGAGAACGGAAUUCCUGGUGUAGCGGUGGAAUGCGCAGAUAUCAGGAGGAACACCGGUGGCGAAGGCGGUUCUCUGGGCAUUACCUGACGCUGAGGAGCGAAAGCAUGGGGAGCGAACAGGAUUAGAUACCCUGGUAGUCCAUGCCGUAAACGUUGGGCACUAGGUGUGGGGACCUUCCACGGUCUCCGUGCCGCAGCUAACGCAUUAAGUGCCCCGCCUGGGGAGUACGGCCGCAAGGCUAAAACUCAAAGGAAUUGACGGGGGCCCGCACAAGCGGCGGAGCAUGCUGAUUAAUUCGAUGCAACGCGAAGAACCUUACCUAGGUUUGACAUAUAGCGAAAACUUAUAGAGAUAUAAGGUCCUUUUGGGCGCUAUACAGGUGGUGCAUGGCUGUCGUCAGCUCGUGUCGUGAGAUGUUGGGUUAAGUCCCGCAACGAGCGCAACCCUCGUUCUAUGUUGCCAGCACGUAAUGGUGGGGACUCAUAGGAGACUGCCGGGGUCAACUCGGAGGAAGGUGGGGAUGACGUCAAGUCUUCAUGCCCCUUAUGCCUAGGGCUUCAAGCAUGCUACAAUGGCUGGUACAAAGGGCUGCGAAACAGCAAUGUGGAGCGAAUCCCAAAAAGCCAGUCUCAGUUCGGAUUGGGGUCUGCAACUCGACCCCAUGAAGUCGGAGUCGCUAGUAAUCGCAGAUCAGCAACGCUGCGGUGAAUACGUUCCCGGGCCUUGUACACACCGCCCGUCAAAC
rnacentral:rRNA from 1 species